CCCUUAGAUGUUCUGGGCUGCACGCGUGCUACACUGAUUACUUCAACAAGUGUUUUAACUGGAGAGUUUGCGUAAUCCUGAAAUGUUAUCGUGAUGGGAGUAGGGUAUUGUAUUUGUUAAUCUUUAACGAGGAAUUCCUAGUAAGUGUAGGUUUAUAAGUUGUUCUGAUUACGUCCCUGCCCUUUGUACACACCGCCCGUCGCUACUACCGAUUGGAUGGCUUAGUGAGACCCUCGGACCGAUAGGCUGUCGCUGCAGCAAUGUGGCGACUGGCCCGUCUUGGGAAGAAGGUCAAACUUGACUGUCUAGAGGAAGUAAAAGUCGUAACA
rnacentral:rRNA from 1 species